rnacentral:rRNA from 1 species
AUUGAACGCUGGCGGAAUGCUUUACACAUGCAAGUCGAGCGGCAGCGCGGCCUUCGGGCUGGCGGCGAGCGGCGAACGGGUGAGUAAUGCAUCGGAACAUGCCCAGUCGUGGGGGAUAACACUUCGAAAGAAGUGCUAAUACCGCAUACGUCCUGAGGGGGAAAGCGGGGGAUCGCAAGACCUCGCGCGAUUGGAGUGGCCGAUGUCAGAUUAGCUAGUUGGUGGGCUAAAGGCCUACCAAGGCGACGAUCUGUAGCUGGUCUGAGAGGAUGAUCAGCCACACUGGGACUGAGACACGGCCCAGACUCCUACGGGAGGCAGCAGUGGGGAAUUUUGGACAAUGGGGGCAACCCUGAUCCAGCCAUUCCGCGUGAGUGAAGAAGGCCUUCGGGUUGUAAAGCUCUUUCGGCAGGAACGAAACGGUGGGCUCUAACAUAGUCCGCUAAUGACGGUACCUGAAGAAGAAGCACCGGCUAACUACGUG